AUUUAUUUUAAUUUAUACCAAGAUUUAUGAUUGCCGUGCCAAAAAAAAUGUUGGAGUUGUCUCCCUUUGUACAAUACUUUUGAUAUAAACAAGCAGCAAGUCCCAAGUUAGUUUAGAUUUUCAAUUAAAUGACAAUUUAUGUUUAAAAGUCUACAAUGCAGGCUUUAUAUAUUUAACACAAAUUUAAUGGGUGCAUAUUUGUUGGCCAGUUGCAUACCUGUCAACAUUUCAAAAUACCCAUGGGGGCUCUAUGUGCAAGAUGGCUCUCAUAAUCCUGUCAACAUUUCAAAAUACCCAUGGGGGCUCUAUGUGUAAGAUGGCUCUCAUAAUCCUGUCAACAUUUCAAAAUACCCAUGGGGGCUCUAUGUGCAAGAUGGCUCCUAUAAUCCUGUCAACAUUUCAAAAUACCCAUGGGGCUCUAUGUGCAAGAUGGCUCUCAUAAUCCUGCUAAACCUGCCUUCAAAUUUAGUUUUAUCUUAUUCAUUUGCUUCCUAAUACUUUACCAUCCUACACCCAUAAAUGUUUUGUUUUAAAUUGUGGUCUUCAUUGCACUAUUAAAAUAUCUAUUUGGGAGCUUCCAUUGGAGGUUAAAUCCCCCACCCCAAUAGUGACAGUUGGCAGGUAUAAUGAAUUCAUGCAAUAUUUUAAAAAGCUAAGCAUUUGUUAUGCUCAUAAUGUG
rnacentral:lncRNA from 1 species